GACGAACGCUGGCGGCGUGCUUAACACAUGCAAGUCGAACGGAAAGGCCCUGCUUUUGUGGGGUGCUUGAGUGGCGAACGGGUGAGUAACACGUGAGUAACCUGCCCUUGACUUUGGGAUAACUUCAGGAAACUGGGGCUAAUACCGGAUAGGAGCUCCUGCUGCAUGGUGGGGGUUGGAAAGUUUCGGCGGUUGGGGAUGGACUCGCGGCUUAUCAGCUUGUUGGUGGGGUAGUGGCUUACCAAGGCUUUGACGGGUAGCCGGCCUGCGAGGGUGACCGGCCACAUUGGGACUGAGAUACGGCCCAGACUCCUACGGGAGGCAGCAGUGGGGAGUAUUGCACAAUGGGCGGAAGCCUGAUGCAGCAACGCCGCGUGCGGGAUGACGGCCUUCGGGUUGUAAACCGCUUUCGCCUGUGACGAAGCGUGAGUGACGGUAAUGGGUAAAGAAGCACCGGCUAACUACGUG
rnacentral:rRNA from 1 species